rnacentral:lncRNA from 1 species
CCCAGCGGAAAAAUGGCCAAAAAUCGGGUGGGCUAUAGCCUUGGUGGAGGGCGUGGGCGAAGUUCGUCCGCCGGACUCAGAAUGGCCCCAGACUUUGCGGGCGGCCUCCGUGUGCCAAAAAUAGGCCACGGUCACAGCCGCGGCCAAAAAUCAGCCCCGAAGGUCGGGGCGCCAAGAAACCCCAGCGGGAAAAUGGCCAAAAAAUGGGUGGGCUAUGGUCUUCGUGGGGGGCGUGGGCGAAGUUCGUCCGCCGGACUCGGAAUGGCCCCAGACUCUGCGGGCGGCCUCCGUGUGCCAAAAAUAGGCCACGGGCACAGCCGCGCCCAAAAAUGAGCGCCCGAAGGUCGGGGCACCAACACUCGCCAGCGAAAAAAUGGCCAAAAAACGGGUGGGCUAUAGCCUUGGUGGGGGGCGUGGGCGAAGUUCGUCCGCCGGACUCAGAAUGGCACCAGGCUUUGCGGGCGGCCUCCGUGUGCCAAAAAUAGGCCACGGGCACAGUCGCGGUCAAAAAUCAGCCCCCGAAGGUCGGGGCGCCAACACUCGCCAGCGGAAAAAUGGCCAAAAAACGGGUGGGCUAUAGCCUUGGCGGGGGGCGUGGGCGAAGUUCGUCCGCCGGACUCGGAAUGGCCCCAUACUUUGCGGGCUGCCUCCGUGUGCCAAUAAUAGGCCACGGGCACAGCCGCGCCCAUAAAUGAGCGCCCGAAGGUCGGGGCGCCAACACCCCCUAGCGGAAAAAUGGCCAAAAAACGGGUGGGCUAUAGCCUUGGUGGGGGGCGUGGGCGAAGUUCGUCCGCCGGACUCGGAAUGGCCCCAGACUUUGCGGGCGGCCUCCGUGUGCCAAAAAUAGGCCACGGGCACAGCCGCGCCCGAAGGUCGGGGCGCCAACACUCGCCAGCGGAAAAAUGGCCAAAAAACGGGUGGGCUAUAGCCUUGGCGGGGGGCGUGGGCGAAGUUCGUCCGCCGGACUCGGAAUGGCCCCAUACUUUGCGGGCUGCCUCCGUGUGCCAAUAAUAGGCCACGGGCACAGCCGCGCCCAAAAAUGAGCGCCCGAAGGUCGGGGCGCCAACACCCCCCAGCGGAAAAAUGGCCAAAAAACGGGUGGGCUAUAGCCUUGGCGGGGGGUGUGGGCGAAGUUCGUCCGCCGGACUCGGAAUGGCCCCAUACUUUGCGGGCUGCCACCGUGUGCCAAAAAUAGACCACGGGCACAGCCGCGCCCAAAAAUGAGCGCCCGAAGGUCGGGGUAACAACACCCCCCAGCGGAAAAAUGGCCAAAAAACGGGUGGGCUAAAGCCUUGGGGGGGGCGUGGGCGAAGUUCGUCCGCCGGAAUCGGAAUGGCCCCAUACUUUACGGGCGGCCUCCGUGUGCCAAAAAUAGGCCACGGGCACAGCCGCGCCCAAAAAUGAGCGCCCGAAGGUCGGGGUAACAACACCCCCCAGCGGAAAAAUGGCCAAAAAACGGGUGGGCUAUAGCCUUGGUGGGGGGCGUGGGCGAAGUUCGUCCACCGGACUCGGAAUGGNN